rnacentral:rRNA from 1 species
GACGAACGCUGGCGGCGUGCUUAACACAUGCGAGUCGAACGGAAAGGCCCUGCUUUUGUGGUGUGCUCGAGUGGCUAACGUGUGAGUAACAAGUGAGUAACCUGCCCUUGACUUUGGGAUAACUUCAGGAAACUGGGGCUAAUACCGGAUAGGAGCUCCUGCUUCAUGGUGGGGGUUGGAAAGUUUCGGCGGUUGGGGAUGGACUCGCGGCUUAUCAGCUUGUUGGUGGGGUAGUGGCUUACCAAGGCUUUGACGGGUAGCCGGCCUGAGAGGGGGACCGGCCACAUUGGGACUGAGAUAAGGCCCAGACUCAUACGGGAGGCAGCAGUGGGGAAUAUUGCACAAUGGGCGGAAGCCUGAUGCAGCAACGCCGCGUGCGGGAUGACGGCCUGCGGGUUGUAAACCGCUUUCGCCUGUGACGAAGCGUGAGUGACGGUAAUGGGUAAAGAAGCACCGGCUAACUACGUG